UGCCCCUACGGGAGGCAGCAGUGGGGGAUAUUGCACAAUGGGGGAAACCCUGAUGCAGCGACGCCGCGUGGGUGAAGAAGCGCCUCGGCGCGUAAAGCCCUGUCAGCAGGGAAGAAAAUGACGGUACCUGAAGAAGAAGCCCCGGCUAACUACGUGCCAGCAGCCGCGGUAAUACGUAGGGGGCAAGCGUUAUCCGGAUUUACUGGGUGUAAAGGGGGCGCAGACGGCGAUGCAAGCCAGGAGUGAAAGCCCGGGGCCCAACCCCGGGACGCCUCUUGGAACUGCGUGGGUAGAGUGCAGGAGGG
rnacentral:rRNA from 1 species